GUCUGUUUGGAGGUAUAAAGGGUCUAACCUGCCCACUGAUAUAAAAUUGAAGGGCCGCAGUAUAUUAACUGUGCAAAGGUAGCAUAAUCAUUAGUUUUUUAAUUGAAAGCUUGUAUGAAGGGUUGGACAAAGAAAAUACUGUCUCUGUAGUAGAGAUUGAAUUUAACUUUUAAGUGAGAAGGCUUAGAUAAUUUAGGGGGACGAUAAGACCCUAUAAAGCUUUACAUAAAUUUUAUUUAUUUAUUAGUUUAUAUGUUUAAUAUUAUUAAGUAAUUGGGUGUUUUGUUGGGGUGAUAAUAGUAUAAUGAUUGUAACUGCUUUAUGAAUUAGACAUAAAUAUAUGAUUGUAGUUGAUCCUUUAUAAAGAUUAUUAGAAGAAGUUACUUUAGGGAUAACAGCGUUAUUUUUCUUGAGAGUUCAGAUUGAAAGAAAAGUUUGCGACCUCGAUGUUGAAUUAAAAAUUUCUUUAUGGUGCAGCAGCUAUAAUAGAGGGUCUGUUCGACCUUUAA
rnacentral:rRNA from 1 species